AGAGGCUGUGCCUUCCACAAAUGCUAUCCUGUAUCUGUCAGAAGCAGCUAUUUCUUUGCCAUCCUUAAACCAGGACACCCUCAUGGGGAGGGAGCCUGCAAUUUUGCAGUCCAGUCUGCAGAUGUUUGGCUUCCAGCUUCAUUUUCAGCCAGGCACGUGUAUUUGCCUCCAAAACUAAUCUGAACAUCAGGGAUUAUCAAGACUGCAACACCAGUGGAAAAGCUCAUUUUGAUUUUUCCGUCUUCUCUGAUGACCUCUUGACCUUUCAUCCAUGUGACAGAAAUGGGCUCUGACCCUCUCACAGCAGCUUGCAGGCUAAUUUCAAAUGGUCCAGUGCCUGAGACUUCACACUGAAGUAGAGCAUUUGUUCCUCUCACUAUGUCUGCAGGCUCAAGAGUUUUGAUGAAGGAAGGAGGUUCUACAAAAGCAUGAAAGCAUUGUGUGGACCUUCUUAUUGAUAGCGGACUGCACAGGCUCUAAUUCUUUAAUGAAAUGUGGCUUAUCAAUGAUGAUCAACUCUGCUUGGCAGAUGUCUGCUCCAAACUUGUUAGAAGCCUUACAAGAAUAAACUCCUCUAUCUUGAAUGGCUCUGCAGUACCUACCUACCAUGUUACUGCCUUGGUUGUUGGUCUCUCCAGUUGGUAAUACAAGCAUUUCCCACACAUGUACAGAAAGCAAAAAGGACAACAAUAUGCAAUGAAGUGACAACAUCUGUGCCAAUGUAUGGCAUUUACCUGUCACAGUUAGUGUGGCUGUACAGCUGACACUGCCAUACUCAUUGGAAGCUUUGCAUGUAUACUCGCCGCAGUCAACCACCUGGGUUCUCAGGAUUUCAAGGCUGGAGAUAUACUUUGAAGAUCGAAUAGAACACUUGUCACUCUCAUAAAUUUCUCGGCCAGCUUUAAACCACUGGAACCGGACAUUGGGAGCACUUUGGAUCUCACAGCAUAUAAGUAUUAGAAGACAGGAUUCAAGUGUCUGCUGGCUGUAAAAAUACUGGAGAAACUCAUCUAUAGCAUGCAGAAUACAUAUUCAG
rnacentral:antisense_RNA from 1 species